AUGUAGAUGAUGAGUCCCAAACAGAACGAAAUGCGUGUCCUGGAU
rnacentral:hammerhead_ribozyme from 1 species